rnacentral:rRNA from 1 species
GAUGAACGCUGGCGGCGUGCCUAAUACAUGCAAGUCGAGCGAACAGACGAGGAGCUUGCUCCUCUGACGUUAGCGGCGGACGGGUGAGUAACACGUGGAUAACCUACCUAUAAGACUGGGAUAACUUCGGGAAACCGGAGCUAAUACCGGAUAAUACAUUGAACCGCAUGGUUCAAUAGUGAAAGACGGUUUUGCUGUCACUUAUAGAUGGAUCCGCGCCGCAUUAGCUAGUUGGUAAGGUAACGGCUUACCAAGGCAACGAUGCGUAGCCGACCUGAGAGGGUGAUCGGCCACACUGGAACUGAGACACGGUCCAGACUCCUACGGGAGGCAGCAGUAGGGAAUCUUCCGCAAUGGGCGAAAGCCUGACGGAGCAACGCCGAGUGAGUGAUGAAGGUCUUCGGAUCGUAAAACUCUGUUAUUAGGGAAGAACAAAUGUGUAAGUAACUAUGCACGUCUUGACGGUACCUAAUCAGAAAGCCACGGCUAACUACGUG